rnacentral:rRNA from 1 species
UGGGGAAUAUUGGGCAAUGGGCGCAAGCCUGACCCAGCCACGCCGCGUGAGUGAUGAAGGCUUUCGGGUCGUAAAGCUCUGUGGGGAGGGACGAAAAAACGGUGGCUAACAUCCACUGGACUGACGGUACCUCCUUAGCAAGCACCGGCUAACUCCGUGCCAGCAGCCGCGGUAAUACGGAGGGUGCAAACGUUGCUCGGAAUCAUUGGGCGUAAAGCGCACGUAGGCGGUCCAGCAAGUCGGGUGUGAAAGCCCUCGGCUUAACCGAGGAAGCGCAAACGAAACUACUGGACUUGAAUACUGAAGAGGGUCGCGGAAUUCCCGGUGUAGAGGUGAAAUUCGUAGAUAUCGGGAGGAACACCAGUGGCGAAGGCGGCGACCUGGGCAGAUAGUGACGCUGAGGUGCGAAAGCGUGGGGAGCAAACAG